UUAAGAUGCUGAUUGUAGCUUAGUUCUCCCGAGAUGUGGGUGAUGAAAAAAAAAAAAUUACAAGUUAUGGGAAACAAUAAGCAAGCAUAUCCAAAAGUUUUUAAGUCCAGCCUAUUCCCUUCCUGUGGUUCUGUAGCCAUUAAUAAUUCUGGACCUGUUUCAACAUUUUUUCCAUUCAUCUGUUUAUUGAGCUUAUAUGGCAAGGAACCUCAGCAUUUGUGCUUUUCACUAAGCUUUUUCAUCAUGGAUAUUCUUGGACUCAAUAUUAGAUAACAUAUUGAAUAUUCUUUGUCCUCUUGGCUUUUGAUUAAGAUGUUGGAUAGAUCUUAUUCAAGAAAUGGUGUGCCAUACAGAUUUGAAAGCCAUCUCGAAGAGUUCGAGAUGUUGAGUAUUGAUUACUAAUCAACUACUAGCCUGGGAGAUAAAAGCCAAAGCUGUAAACAGACAGGCCAGCUUAACAAGUGCACAUUCUCUGCUGCCAACAGUACCAAUUUUUCAUCCAAGCAACUAAUAUUCCUUGGUAAUCUGCUAUCAGAUAAGUUAUCUCUUUGUCAUUUUUAUGAAUUAAAGCUUUCAAGGCCAAAGUAAGACUUAAUUUUAUCUUUUCUUUAACUGCUAAUUCUAAAAUAAUUUAUCAUUGCAUGUUAAAAAAUAAAUAACUUGUUAUACAUUUUUCUGUGUUUUGGUCAAGCUUCAGAUUUGCUUAGCAACAAAUGUUUGAUGGUCUGUCUGGUUCAUCUCUUAACACUGAAGAUGGCUACACUUAUCUGAGGUCUCCAUAUUUCAGAAACUUAACAAGCAAACAAUUGGUCAUCCUAUCCAAGCAACUAAUAUUCCUAGUUAAUCUGCUUUCAUAUUAUUAGUUUUCUCUUUGGCAUUUUUAUGAAUUAAAUCUUUCAAAGCCAAACCUUAGAUUUGGUGAGCAUAACCCUGAACUGCAUAUCAACAAAUGUCUGAUGGUCUGUCUGAACUCUAUGAAGAUGGGCUACACGGGUAUCAGCUAUCAGCAGUGCACCCCUAUGAUGUACAAGUUUUCAUUGCCAAGUCUAUCUGCCAAACAGUGUGUACACCUUUCUUGCAUUGGUAGGGACCCACUUUACUGUACUUCAAUGUCAGGAGUCUGGAUAUGUCAGGCCAAGGAGAUCAAGUUUGUGUCCAAGGUUACUUAAGUAAUUCUCUAAGAACAAUAGACAGACUCUACAUGUUACUGAUCUGGAGGUUAGUGGCUCAAUCAUUGUGCACUGAUUCUUCACUGAUGCCUUGAUUCUCCACUGUCACCUUUAUUGUCAUAAAGUUUAUCUAGUGAUCUACAUAUCAAGACUAAAUGGUCAAUUAAACAUGAGGUCAAGGAAAAAGGAUGAACAUUUCAAAGCUACAGAAGGAACAUUAAACGUCUCUCUCAGUGUAAAAAAGAUUCUACCGAUCUACAAAUGAUCAACAUGUUUUAUCUUAAGUUCAUCUGCCAUUUCUUCAAAUGGAGCCAUAGUCAGAAUAAGUCAUUUCAGUUGUAUAUUAUUUUGUGCAACAAGUUACCAGAAAAACAUCAAGCAAGAGAGGUCACUACACUAAGACUUUGUCUUCUCAUAAGAAUGGAUGGCUGCCUGGUCAUGUGGUAUGUGCGCUGGACUGUUGUGGGGUCAUCUUGAUGCUCAUAUCUUGCCUGAUACCAUUUAUUCUGCUGGACGUUUGGUCAAGGAAGUAGCUUCUCUUCAACUCUCAAGGAACAAUCAAAACAUGUCAAACAUUUGACAAGAAUAUCAAGCAAGUGCAGUGUACAUACCAACAUGAUGAAAAGGUAGACCAACAUGAAGAUGUAGACCAGCAUGAUGAAGAUGUAGACCAACAUGAUGAAGAUGUAGACCAGCAUGAUGAAAAGGUAGACAACAUGAAGAUGUAGACCUGCAUGAUGAACAUGGACCGACAUGAAGAUGAAAUGUAAACCAAAAUAUUGAUCAAGAAUAGGGAAUAAAAUGUGAACAUCUUGAGAGGGAAAACAAUUCCUAGAGGUGAAGACACAGACACAGUAGAUACAUUAGAGAUUGUUUCCUUUUCUACCAUCAUUUAGAGCCUUCCUUGUGCUCUAAGGGAACCUGCCAUUAUCUUUUGAUUGCUGGGUGUUGAAGAUGUUUUUACAUUCCUACUGCGUCUGAAAGAAAUGAACAUUACCCUAAUGCUACAUCAAAUUCAGACCUUCUCAAGACAAUCUUAGUGAUCAAGCUGCAAUACAGGACACAGUAGGAAACAAGAAUCCUCCCCACCUUUACAUAAGAUUUUUACCAAAUUAUUAAAUUCUUACUACCUUUACUAUUUUAACUGUGAAUAGACCUUGUUUUUAAUGAUUUAACUGUAUAGAAUUUAGCCCUUGUUAUGUAAAGGGAGAGUGAUCCUUAAAGGAUUACGGGCACGACAUGGCCUAAAUUGUUCCAAUGUGCCUAAACUCAAAACUCAAACUCGAGUACCCAUGCUCACCUACUAGAGUGGCGACACAUACUUCUCCUAGUUAUACAUCCUGAACCCUGUAACCCAACCUCACGACAUGGUUACAUUACUAGAAAUGGUCCUGAAGCUAGGAAAACUAUCAUUUCUAAUACGAGGUACAACUGGUCAAGUGAUGUACUUUGUAAGAACUAAUUAGUUGGAAUUACCAUAAUUGACUUGUAUCUUGUUCUAUAUUUAGGUAUAUCUUGACAAUCAAUCCAGUCAUUUGUUCAUUUUUUGUUAAAUAUUCCUUUUUUUCCCCCUCAAUCUUCUUGUUUCAGUUCGAAAUGUUUUUAUAUUUUUUGUUUUUGGAGGAGGGAAGUUCAAAUGGUAGAGUAUCAUUAUUAUUAUUGUAUUAAGCAAACUUGUAUAUGUAUGUUUAUUCAUGUAUACUAAUGAAGAACAUCACUUCUGGGUCAUCUACCGAAAAUGUUGUAAACACUAAACAUGUCUUCAGUUAACCUUGGAUAUUCUAUAGAGUCACAACACCAAAGCCUUGCUACAUUAUGCUUAAUUCAAUUUAUUUUCUCCCCUGCUUUUGUGUGCUAUCAUAUUAAUGUUCAUUAGUGUCACAUCCAUGCACAAUUUGUUCUAUGCUCUAUAUAGUGUAAAUAGUGACUUGACGUUAUUCAGCUCCACUAAAAUAUUGUUUAAUUAUUAUAUUUAAAAUAAAACUGAUAACAUUUACUAUGCUGUUAUUAAUAUGAAAGCUUUGCUGUGUUGCUAUAAAUGCAGUUUUGAGGUUUAGUCUAAGGGUAUCAUAGAUGAGAAAUGUAGUUACACUCACCUUCACAGUUAAAAAUAAAACGUUCCAUAAAGAUUAUUAUUAUUAUUAUUAAAUAAAGAGUCUAAUAAUAUUUACUAUUUGGUAUCGACAGACUUCACUCAAGCAUUGAGCUCAUCCCCUUAGUCUAUUUAAAACUUUACAAUACUAAUUCACUUUGUCUUAUCUAAUGGUGAUCAUAAGGUAUCCACUUUGUCAUCUCCAGUCUCUGGUGUGAACACUCACUGUCCUGUUGGAGGUUAGGGCUAGGAUGUAAUCUCUAUUUCUGAUGGAACACAUGUAAAACCAACAGUAGACCUAGACUUUAUUAACAGGUCAUGCAAACAUUUUUUCUUAUCUGGCUCUCCCAGAGCUAUUUUUUUGUAUUUUUUUUUUUACUACUUUUGUAGCCUAGUGCUAAGCUGUAUACUUGUACUUCCCCCUAUUAUUAUAUGGGUUAGUGCAAUGCUGUUUCCUGUACUGUUGACCAGUGGUCUGUAUGUCAGUUUUAAUUAUUCUGUACCUGGGACUGCCUGUAAGUUUCAGAAUUAUUUUUCUUUUUUUAAAUUUUACUAUGUGUAAAUCUAUUAUUUAAUUUUUUAGCAAUAUAUGUUACAUUAUUUUUUCUAAUUGGAACAAAUGUCAAAAUAAUUGACAACAUGUUUUUAAAAAUAUGGCCAAGCCCUGCCCCGUGCUGUCAUAAUGGCCACUUCUAAUGUUUAUGUACUAGAUCUUGUCCUUAUGUUUUUUUUUUUAGCUGCAGUGUUUUGUAACUGCUGCUUUAGUCAUUUGAAAUUAAAGUCUCAUUUUUUUAUA